rnacentral:rRNA from 2 species
AAAAUGACUCUCGGCAACGGAUAUCUCGGCUCUCGCAUCGAUGAAGAACGUAGCGAAAUGCGAUACUUGGUGUGAAUUGCAGAAUCCCGUGAACCAUCGAGUCUUUGAACGCAAGUUGCGCCCGAAGCCUAGGCCAAGGGCACGUCUGCCUGGGCGUCUCAC